rnacentral:tRNA from 1 species
AAACCCUUCCUGUACUA